AAGUUCAAGCAGCCCUCUGCCCGCCACGCUGGGCGCUCAGGGGAGCAGCCCCAGGAGAGGGCGCCGCGUGGCUCCAGUUCGGAGACAGAGGCUGGGGACAGUCCUCCGCCAGCGCCAGCCGGGCCUCCCGCUGCCCACACGCCCCGAGUGGGCGACGGCGGGGAAGCAGCAGAACCGACGUCCCCGCCGCCGGGACGCGCGUGUGCGCACCGGCUCGAUGCGCGGAGACGGAGUCACUCAGGAGACGCGCGGCGGCGGGGCCUCGGACAGACCCAGCUGGGCGCGCGUGGACGGCGGACUGCGAGCGCGGGGUGCUGCCUCGCGGCACUGCCUGGACCCACGCUCAGAAGUGGGGGUUUCUAAUCCGAUCCUGGGGUGGGCCCGGCAGAACCCCGAGCGGGCUGGAGUGAGCGUGACCGUCGCGCCCGGCGACAGAGGUGUUACACACGGUGACGAGAUCCGUGGAUGACCUCACAGGCCACUUCCCGCCAGCACCUCGGUUGGUCUGAAGAGACCCGGGGAGGGCACACCGAGGCCAGCCCCGAGCGAGCACCCCGUUCCUGCCGCUUCCAGCCACCUGCCUCUUCAUUUCCAGCGCUAGACCUUUGGGUGACUUCCAGGUUUCAGCAGUUACGCAGAAGAUACUAUCGGUAUUUACACACAAGUUUUUGUGGACACUGGUUUUUAUUUAUUUUAGGAAAAUAGCUAAGAGUAGAGUUGCUGGAUCUGGACUUGGUAAAUAUUUAACUUUAUAAGACUCUUAUAAGACUCCGCCAGAGUUUUCCAAGGUGCCUGUGGAAUUU
rnacentral:lncRNA from 1 species